CCUACGGGUGGCAGCAGUGGGGAAUAUUGCACAAUGGGGGAAACCCUGAUGCAGCAACGCCGCGUGAGUGAAGAAGUAUUUCGGUAUGUAAAGCUCUAUCAGCAGCGAAGAAGACAGACGGUACCUGACUCAGAAGCCUCGGCGAACUACGCGCCAGCAGCAGCGGUAAUACGGAGGGGGCAAGCGUUAUGCGGAUUUAGUGGGUGUAAAGGGAGCGUAGACGGCUGUGCAAGUCUGAAGUGAAAGCCCGUGGCUCAACCGCGGAACUGCUUUGGAAACUGUAUAGCUUGAGUACUGGAGAGGCAGGCGGAAUUCCAAGUGUAGCGGUGAAAUGCGUAGAGAUUAGGAGGAACACCGGAGGCGAAGGCGGCCUGCUGGACAGAAACUGACGUUGAGGUUCGAAAGCGUGGGGAGCAAACAGGAUUAGAUACCCGUGUAGUC
rnacentral:rRNA from 1 species